rnacentral:rRNA from 1 species
UACGUAGGCAGCGAGCGUUGUUCGGAGUUACUGGGCGUAAAGAGUGCGUAGGCGGUUUUCUAAGUUUGGUGUGAAAUCUCCCGGCUCAACUGGGAGGGUGCGCCGAAGACUGGAAGGCUUGAGUAUGGGAGAGGUAAGCGGAAUUCCUGGUGUAGCGGUGAAAUGCGCAGAUAUCGGGAGGAACACCAAUGGCGAAGGCAGCUCGCUGGGACGGUACUGACGCUGAGGCGCGAAAGCGUGGGUAGCAAACAGG